CAUUGACGAAUCUGAACAAGGACCUGACACAGGUGGAGGACUUUGUUGCGCAUUUGACAUUCCUUGGUCAAAUAUCGUCCGAGGUUCCCUCGCUGGAGAAAAGGUACACUACUGUUAUACAGCUCUAUGCUGUUGCCAAAGACUACAAUGUGCCUAUUUCUUCAGAGGAAUUAGCUCUAUUCCAGAGUCUUACUCCAAGCUUUCAA